rnacentral:rRNA from 1 species
CCUACGGGAGGCAGCAGUGAGGAAUAUUGGUCAAUGGACGAGAGUCUGAACCAGCCAAGUAGCGUGAAGGAUGACUGCCCUAUGGGUUGUAAACUUCUUUUAUAUGGGAAUAAAAUGUUCCACGUGUGGGAUUUUGUAUGUACCAUAUGAAUAAGGAUCGGCUAACUCCGUGCCAGCAGCCGCGGUAAUACGGAGGAUCCGAGCGUUAUCCGGAUUUAUUGGGUUCAAAGGGAGCGUAGGUGGAUUGUUAAGUCAGUUGUGAAAGUUUGCGGCUCAACCGUAAAAUUGCAGUUGAAACUGGCAGUCUUGAGUACAGUAGAGGUGGGCGGAAUUCGUGGUGUAGCGGUGAAAUGCUUAGAUAUCACGAAGAACUCCGAUUGCGAAGGCAGUUCACUGGACUGCAACUGACACUGAGGCUCGAAAGUGUGGGUAUCAAACAGGAUUAGAUACCCCUGUAGUC